rnacentral:rRNA from 1 species
UACCAGCACCCCGAGUGGUCGGGACGUUUAUUGGGCCUAAAGCAUCCGUAGCCGGUUCUACAAGUCUUCCGUUAAAUCCACCUGCUUAACAGAUGGGCUGCGGAAGAUACUAUAGAGCUAGGAGGCGGGAGAAGCAAGCGGUACUCGAUGGGUAGGGGUAAAAUCCGUUGAUCCAUUGAAGACCACCAGUGGCGAAGGCGGCUUGCCAGAACGCGCUCGACGGUGAGGGAUGAAAGCUGGGGGAGCAAACCGG